rnacentral:rRNA from 1 species
CGCAAGCCUGACGGAGCCAGACCGCGUGGGGGAGGAAGGCCCUUGGGUUGUAAACCCCUUUUCUCAGGGAAGAAACCUGACGGUCCCUGAGGAAAAAGCCUCGGCUAACUCCGUGCCAGCAGCCGCGGUAAUACGGAGGAGGCAAGCGUUAUCCGGAAUUACUGGGCGUAAAGCGUUCGUAGGGGGCUCGUCAAGUCUGCUGUCAAAGCUCGGAGCUCAACUCCGAAGGGGCAGUGGAAACUGGGGAGCUAGAGGGCGGCAGGGGCAGAAGGAAUUCCCGGUGUAGCGGUGAAAUGCGUAGAGAUCGGGAAGAACACCGGUGGCGAAAGCGCUCUGCUGGGCCGCACCUGACCCUCAGGGACGAAAGCCAGGGGAGCG